GCGCGGAUGGCGCAGUGGUCAGCGCAUCUGCGUAAUAAGCAGGAUACCUGGAUUCGAAUCCCAGUCCGGCGCA